UACGGAGGGUGCAAGCGUUGCUCGGAAUCACUGGGCGUAAAGCGACCGCAGGCGGCCUGACAAGUCGGAUGUGAAAGCCCUGGGCUCAACUCAGGAAUUGCAUUCGAAACUGGCAGGCUCGAGUACGGGAGAGGGGGGUGGAAUUCCUGGUGUAGGGGUGAAAUUCGUUGAUAUCAGGAGGAACACCGGCGGCGAAGGCGGCCCCCUGGCCCGCAACUGACGCUCAUGGUCGAAAGCGUGGGGAGCAGACAGG
rnacentral:rRNA from 1 species